rnacentral:rRNA from 1 species
GAUGCAACGCGAAGAACCUUACCUGGUCUUGACAUCCCGGAGACCCUUAGGAAACUAGGGGGUGCUUCCAUCUGGAAGAAUCUGGAGACAGGUGCUGCAUGGCUGUCGUCAGCUCGUGUCGUGAGAUGUUGGGUUAAGUCCCGCAACGAGCGCAACCCUUGCCUUUAGUUGCCAGCAGUUCGGCUGGGCACUCUAAAGGGACUGCCGGUGUUAAACCGGAGGAAGGUGGGGAUGACGUCAAGUCCUCAUGGCCUUUAUGGCCAGGGCUACACACGUACUACAAUGGCCGAUACAAAGGGCAGCGACACUGCGAGGUGAAGCCAAUCCCGUAAAAUCGGUCUCAGUCCGGAUUGGAGUCUGCAACUCGACUCCAUGAAGUUGGAAUCGCUAGUAAUCGUGGAUCAGCAUGCCACGGUGAAUACGUUCCCGGGCCUU